CGAGCGGAAGGCCCUUCGGGGUACUCGAGCGGCGAACGGGUGAGUAACACGUGAGCAACCUGCCCUAGGCUUUGGGAUAACCCCGGGAAACCGGGGCUAAUACCGGAUAGGACCUUCGGACGCAUGUCUGGGGGUGGAAAGUUUUUCGGCCUGGGAUGGGCUCGCGGCCUAUCAGCUUGUUGGUGGGGUGAUGGCCUACCAAGGCGACGACGGGUAGCCGGCCUGAGAGGGCGACCGGCCACACUGGGACUGAGACACGGCCCAGACUCCUACGGGAGGCAGCAGUGGGGAAUAUUGCACAAUGGGCGGAAGCCUGAUGCAGCGACGCCGCGUGAGGGAUGACGGCCUUCGGGUUGUAAACCUCUUUCAGCAGGGACGAAGCGCAAGUGACGGUACCUGCAGAAGAAGCGCCGGCCAACUACGUGCCAGCAGCCGCGGUAAGACGUAGGGCGCGAGCGUUGUCCGGAUUUAUUGGGCGUAAAGAGCUCGUAGGCGGCUUGUCGCGUCGACUGUGAAAACCCGCGGCUCAACCGCGGGCCUGCAGUCGAUACGGGCAGGCUAGAGUUCGGUAGGGGAGACUGGAAUUCCUGGUGUAGCGGUGAAAUGCGCAGAUAUCAGGAGGAACACCGGUGGCGAAGGCGGGUCUCUGGGCCGAUACUGACGCUGAGGAGCGAAAGCGUGGGGGAGCGAA
rnacentral:rRNA from 1 species